rnacentral:misc_RNA from 1 species
CUGCACCCAUCAAUUUGAACACAAACAAAUCAGAUAAGGUAAUCUACUUGUUAAUCUUUCAGCAAGCACGGGAAGGAAGAUGGGGUGGGGGGUGCGCGGAGGGUGGGCGUGUGGUGUGGGUGGUAGGGAGGGGAAGCUUUAAUAAUACUGAACAAUCUAGGAAAACUAAAGAAAACUAGUAAGUGCAUGUGGUUAGGUAUCUGAUUUACCAAAAGUAGAAAACUAAAAUUGCAAUCCAACGGCACCAUUAAUUUGAUAAGCUGAGAUUUAAUUUAGAAACUUCCUGGGAAUAAAAUAGAAGAAAUUUGAAGGCAAGUGAGAGAAAGAUAAGAGGGGGGAGAGAAUCAUUAAAUAUGCUAUUUUUAGGAAUCCCAUAUUGAAAGAAAAUAAAG